rnacentral:rRNA from 1 species
UCAAGCAAGAAAGAGCGCAGGGUGGAUGCCUUGGCACUAAGAGCCGAAGAAAGACGUGAUAAGCUGCGAAAAGCUGCGGGGAGGAGCAAAUAUCCAUUGAGCCGCAGAUAUCUGAAUGGGGAAACCCGGCUGGAUGAACUCCAGUCAUCCAUACGCCAAUCCAUAACGUAUGGAAGGGAACCCGGUGAACUGAAACAUCUAAGUAGCCGGAGGAAGAGAAAGAAAAAUCGAUUUCCAAAGUAGCGGCGAGCGAAAUGGAAAGAGGCCAAACCAUGGUGCGUGCACCGUGGGGUUCGGACCGCAUAAUUGAUUCGUUGAUUCUAGCAGAAAGGUUUUGGGAAAGCCUGCCAGAGAGGGUGAAAGCCCCGUAAGCGAAAGGAAAGACGACAUGGCGGAAUCCAGAGUACAUCGAGACACGAGAAACCUUGAUGGAAUGAGCGGGGACCACCCCGUAAGCCUAAAUACUCCUUAGUGACCGAUAGCGCAUAGUACUGUGAAGGAAAGGUGAAAAGGACCCCGGGAGGGGAGUGAAAGAGAACCUGAAACCCUGUGUUUACAAGCUGUGGAACAUCUUUAAAUGAUGAACCGCGUACUUUUUGUAGAACGGUCCGGCGAGUUACGCGUGCCGGCAAGGUUAAGCACUUAAGGUGUGGAGCCGAAGAGAAAUCGAGUCUGAACAGGGCGUUCAGUCAGCACGCGUAGACCCGAAACCGGGUGAUCUACCCAUGUCCAGGUUGAAGUUGCCGUAAAAGGCAAUGGAGGACCGAACGCACAUCCGUUGAAAAGGGUGGCGAUGAGGUGUGGGUAGGGGAGAAAUUCCAAUCGAACCCGGAGAUAGCUGGUUCUCCUCGAAAUAGCUUUAGGGCUAGCCUCAUUUUAGUCUUAUGGAGGUAGAGCACUGAAUUUCCGCGGGGGCGUCAAAGCUUACCAAAGAAUAUCAAACUCCGAAUGCCAUGUAGAUGAUGAAUGGGAGUCAGACUGCACGAGAUAAGUUGGGUGGUCAAAAGGGAAAGAGCCCAGACCUACAGCUAAGGUCCCAAAGUGCGUGUUAAGUGGAAAAGGAUGUGGGAUUUCAAAGACAACCAGGAUGUUGGCUCAGAAGCAGCCAUACAUUCAAAGAGUGCGUAACAGCUCACUGGUCGAGAGGUCCUGCGCCGAAAAUGUCCGGGGCUGAAACACGACACCGAAGCUUAGGAAUCACAUAGUGAUUGGUAGAGGAGCAUUCUUAAAACCGACGAAGCUGUACCGGAAGGAGCAGUGGAGGGAUAAGAAGAGAGAAUGCCGGAAUGAGUAGCGAGAGGAAGGUGGGAAUCCUUCCGGCCGAAUAUCUAAGGUUUCCAGAGUAAAGCUGAUCUGCUCUGGGUAAGUCGGGGCCUAAGGAGAGGUCGAAAGACGUAUCCGAUGGACAACAGGUUUAGAUUCCUGUACCACAUAUAAACAGAACUGUGGGGACGCAUGUGGAAAGCAUAAGCCGGGAAUGGAAAUACCGGUACAAACGGAAGAGGUGUCAGGCUGGCAAAUCCGCCUGGCAAGCCAAAGACGUGAUGUGGAGCGAAAUAAAAGUAGCGAAGUAUGUGAGCCAUGUGCCGAGAAAAGCCGCUAUUGUUUUAUAUGUGCCCGUACCGUAAACCGACACAGGUGGAUGAGGAGAGAAUCCUAAGGCCGACGGAAGAAGCAUUGUUAAGGAACUCGGCAAAAUGACCCCGUAACUUCGGGAGAAGGGGUGCCCACUUCAGGGUGGGCCGCAGAGAAUAGGCUCAAGCAACUGUUUAGCAAAAACACAGGUCUAUGCGAAACCGUAAGGUGAAGUAUAUGGGCUGACGCCUGCCCGGUGCUGGAAGGUUAAGAGGAGAGGUUAGUCGCAAGAUGAAGCUUUGAAUUUAAGCCCCAGUAAACGGCGGCCGUAACUAUAACGGUCCUAAGGUAGCGAAAUUCCUUGUCGGGU